rnacentral:tRNA from 1 species
GGGCGCUUAGCUCAGUUGGUUUAGAGCAUCUGCCUUACAAGCAGAGGGUCGGGGGUUCGAGCCCCUCAGCGCCCACCA